rnacentral:rRNA from 1 species
UAGGGAAUAUUAGAAAUGGACGAAAGUCUGAUCUAGCAACACCGCGUGUGCGAAGAAGGCCUUUGGGUCGUAAAGCACUUUUUGGAAGGAAUAGGAAGGAAUGUACUUCCAGAAUAAGUCUUGGCUAACUACGUGCCAGCAGCCGCGGUAACACGUAGGAGGCAAACGUUAUCCGGAUUUACUGGGCGUAAAGCGCGUGUAGGUGGUACUGUAAGUAGGGCGUGAAAGCUCCUGGCUCAACUGGGAGAGGCCGUUCUAAACUACAGAACUAGAGGAUGGUAGAGGGAGGUGGAAUUCCAGGUGUAGCGGUGGAAUGCGCAGAUAUCUGGAGGAACGCCGGUGGCGAAGGCGGCCUCCUGGACCAUUCCUGACACUCAGACGCGAAAGCUAGGGUAGCGAACGG